rnacentral:rRNA from 1 species
AUGGCUGUGGAGCUGAGGGACGCCGUCGGCCGGUAUGAGCUUCUCGAGAAGGAGAAUCGGGCAAAGGCGGCUGACCUGAAGAAGGUGCUGGAUUCGGCUAAGGAGACACGCUCUAAAAUUAGAGACACGCGGGAGGAACUUCGACAAGCCGGAGAGAUCGCGACUGGAAAUCCCUAUUUGUUGCGGAUGAAGUUCUUAGAUCCAAAGUAUGCUCCAUUGGAUAAGCUUUGGAGCGCUACAGAUGAGUAUGCGGACUUAGCGAAAAGUACGGUUGAUGCAACCAAGUUGUUCAAGGAUCAUAAAGAUAACAAAAUAAAAAGGCUAUUCUGGUCGCAAUUUAGUGCUCCAACGCGCUCAUUGCCAUUGAGUGAGAAGAUGGCCGCUAUAGCCGAUCUCCAUAGGCUGUCCGGUCUUGCAAUGAGUCUGUAA